rnacentral:rRNA from 1 species
GAUCCUGGCUCAGAACGAACGCUGGCGGCAUGGAUUAGGCAUGCAAGUCGAACGAAGCAGCAAUGCUUAGUGGCGCAAGGGUGAGGAACACGUGAGUGACCUACCCGCAAGUUUGGAACAGCUCCUGGAAACGGGAAUUAAUACCGGAUGUGAUCAAUGAGCUGCAUGGUUUAUUGAUUAAAGCAGUAAUGCGCUUGCGGAUGGGCUCGCGUCCCAUUAGCUAGUUGGUGAGGUAACGGCCCACCAAGGCCAUGAUGGGUAGCUGGUCUGAGAGGACGACCAGCCACACUGGGACUGAGAACUGCCCAGACUCCUACGGGAGGCUGCAGUCGAGAAUUUUGGGCAAUGGACGAAAGUCUGAACCCCCAGCAAUGCCGCGUGCGGGAUGAAGGUCUUCGGAUUGUAAACCGCUGUUUGGAGGGACGAAAAUUGACGGUACUUCCAGAGGAAGCCACGGCUAACUACGUGCCAGCAGCGGC